CUAAUACCGGAUAACACUCUGUCCCGCAUGGGACGGGGUUAAAAGCUCCGGCGGUGAAGGAUGAGCCCGCGGCCUAUCAGCUUGUUGGUGGGGUAAUGGCCUACCAAGGCGACGACGGGUAGCCGGCCUGAGAGGGCGACCGGCCACACUGGGACUGAGACACGGCCCAKACUCCUACGGGAGGCAGCAGUGGGGAAUAUUGCACAAUGGGCGAAAGCCUGAUGCAGCGACGCCGCGUGAGGGAUGACGGCCUUCGGGUUGUAAACCUCUUUCAGCAGGGAAGAAGCGAAAGUGACGGUACCUGCAGAAGAAGCGCCGGCUAACUACGUGCCAGCAGCCGCGGUAAUACGUAGGGCGCAAGCGUUGUCCGGAAUUAUUGGGCGUAAAGAGCUCGUAGGCGGCUUGUCACGUCGGAUGUGAAAGCCCGGGGCUUAACCCCGGGUCUGCAUUCGAUACGGGCUAGCUAGAGUGUGGUAGGGG
rnacentral:rRNA from 2 species